GUUGGUGGAGUGAUUUGUCUGGUUAAUUCCGUUAACGAACGAGACCCCCGCCUGCUAAAUAGUACCAGGAAUGCUUCGCAUUGCUGGCUUGCUUCUUAGAGGGACUUUGUGUGACUAACACAAGGAAGUUGGGGGCAAUAACAGGU
rnacentral:rRNA from 1 species